UUCAUUAUAUUUUAAUUCCAUUAUUUUUUAUUUUCUAAGCUGAUAUACGACUUCUUGCAUUCACUUUCAGUUUCACUCCUUAGCCUGGUUAUAGGAGCUAGGGUUUAUCGAGGCUUUCGAUUCGUUCCUUCCUCGCUGCUACAACAAUGGCGAAACCUGGGCGAGGUCGUCGCUCUCCCUCCGGUUCCGUUUCCGGCCCCUCUUCCCCCUCCGACUCCCGUUCCUCCUCUCGCUCGCGCUCCCUUUCUCGGUCCCGUUCUCCCUCGCGCUCCAUAUCGUCUUCCCCCUCCUCCUCCUCUUCCUCCCGCAGCCGCAGCCCUCCCCCGCAGAGGCGCCGAAGAGUAUAGAGAUUGCGCCGAAGGUAUCGCUAUUUUAGAGAUUGCGCCGAAGCUCCCGCAGCUGCAGCCCUCCCCCGCAGAGAUCUCAUUUUAUGGUGGAAGAACUUCUAAAAUUAUAUGCAAGUGAGAAAUAUAUUCUCAUGGUGAAUCAGCAGCUGGAAGAUUUGAGAUUUUAUGUUUCUUUCAAGGUUGGAGCUACAAGUGUUUCAGUAUUGCAAAGUAUGUGGCAGACUUUCUGGCUAAGUGAGAACUGGGAUGGCUAACUUUUUGUGCACAAAUAAACAGCAAAAGCACACGACUCUUUUUGCAAUUGGAGGAGUACUAAAGUGAUACUAGUAUUUUUUUUUAUCACAUGGUGCAUGAUUUAACAGGAGUUUCACCCGGGGAAGGUAUGGGAGCAACAACGUCUGAUGACGAAGAUGAGCAAGUAGAUAGUGAUGCCAAUCUGUUUGAUGGUGCUUUGGAUGGUCCUGAUAGCAUGGGAUUCGGUCCUCUUAUUCCCACAGAGAAUGAGAGGUCCCUCAUGGAACGUGUAAGACAUGAAGUAAAGCACGAAUUGAAACAGGGUUAUAAAGAGAAAAUUGUGGACAUAAGAGAGGAAAUUUUAUGCAAGAGAUGAGUUGGGAAACUUCCUGGUGACACGACCUCUGUCCUUAAAGCUUGGUGGCAAUCACAUUCCAAGUGGCCUUACCCUACAUUUUAGGUGGCUACGAAGCUGAGUCAAAUAAAGUUGCAGGGAAUGCCAUUUUAUAUGAAUGUGUUCAAACAAUAAUGAGCAUUGAAGAUAAUGGUGGCUUACAUGUACUUGCCAUUAAUAUCCUGAGAAGAUUCUUGUCAAACCGUGACAACAAUAUCAGAAUAUCCAGAUUUUGUCAGAUGCCCGCAAAUCAGUAUUUUGACUGAUAUUAACUCAAUAUGAAGAGAGUAAUCUCUUUUUGUAGUUGUGUUUCGUGCGUUUUUACUGGCUGCUGGAAUCCCCAACGAGGAUGUUCUCCUACGGAAGAAAAGGGCUAGGAUUCUAAAGCCAGCUUUAACAGUUAUACGGGAUAAAGAAUCAAAAUGCUUGCUUGUGUUCAUCCGUGGAACUCAAAGCUUAAAAUACACACUGACAGAUGCAAUCGGUGCUCCCGUGUCCUUCAAUCAUUUCAUUUGCAACGAUGAUGGUGAGCUGAAGAGGAACAACAAGGUUGCAGGACAUGGACACCGUGGUAUGGUUGCUGCAGCUCGUUGGAUUAAGAAGCACUGCACCACUAUACUACUUGAAGAUCUUCGUCGACACCCCCCGAUUUCCAAAUCAAGCUGCCUCCGUAUCAUUGGAGUUAUCAGAAUUCGGGAAGCCCUUUAUCACUUCCAUUAUAAAUGAUUCGGACAUAGUGCCUACAUUGUCAGCUUAUUCUAUUCAUGAUUUCAUUUCUGAGGUGGAGUUCCAAAUCUGGCCAUGGUUGAGAGUGUGGACAAUCAGAAGGUAGCAAAUCAUCUUGACCGUAUGGUAUCAACCCUUGGAAGAAAUCCUCUGAAGGUUUUGGUGCAAGUAAAUUCGAGUGGAGAAGAAUCCAAAUCUGGUAUUGAUCCUUCCAACUGUGUUGACUUAAUCAAUACAAAAAGAUGCGAGACACAAAACGAAAAGAAGAAAAUAAUUGAAAAGUGCUACAAGAAGUUCAUGAUUUACUCUUUAACCCAACCAAUCCAGAAGCUAGUAGGAAUUUCAACAAAGCACAACAACAUCAGGACCCUACUGGUCUUGCAUGCAGCCAAGAAAGGUACUUACAGGUGAUCGUUAUUGUGCCACAUGAACUAAACAGAUCUCGUAGUUAUUUAUCAGUAGCAUCAUCAUCAAAGUUCUUUACAUGAAAGUUUGAUGAUGAUGUUACCGAUAAUGAGCUACGAGAGUGUUUUUAGCCGUCGCUGCAAAUUUUCUCAACUCCAGAAUUGCUUCCCUUUGAUCUGAACCUUUCCAAUUUCGGAAUCAUCAUUUUCUGAACACCAAUUGAUACCAAGAAAGAAAAAAAGAAAGAAAGAAAGAAAGAA